ensembl:lncRNA
GGGGGGGAUUCUUAGCUCAACUGUUGGCUUACAAUAUCAUGAAGUGCAAGCUUUUCUCCUACAUGAGCCCCAGACAUAAAGCAAGCAUGAACCUAACAGCAUGUCUCCAAAAAAAACCUUAAAGGAAAAUACAAUGAAAACCAGUUUCAAAAGUGAAAUGUUUAACAAAAUACAUGUAAAAAUAAAAUAAAUGUGUUUAAGAGGCUCACAAACGAUCAGGAGAAAAUAUGUGUAAAAAGGUGUGAAAAGAGCAGCUGAGACUGAACCAAAGGGAUUCGUUCAGGUUCAGUCGUCGGUCUCUGGAAGAUUCUCGAAUCACCGGCGAGAGCUGAAGCCACAACAGGGCCGUCGACGACUACAGCCAGGUCCCGCAGUCGUCUGCGGCUCUGUGGGUGAAUAAAGAGUACGUCCGGAGAAAAUGCUCCUCACUUUGUACAACCGGCAGGCCCCGCUCUAUCUCUUGGAAACGAACAAUGAGACACCUGUGGACUCUACUCUACGCCAUCUUUGGAGCUACCCAAGACAUCACAGCUACACCUGGACAGCAUGUUGUUCUGAUGUGUCAAGAUCCAGAUAACAACUUCACAGGCGUAAAGUGGACCAGAGCUGACCUGGUAGAAGAAUAUGUCUAUUUAGAGCGGGACGGGCACUUUGAACCACGCAACCAGCAUCCGUCUUUUCACAACCGGGCGGCUCUGGAUGAGCGAGAGAAGAAAGAUGGGAAUGUGUCUUUAAAUCUGAAGAAUGUGACAAAAAACGACGCUGGGGCAUACGAGUGUCGUGUCUUCAUCAAUGAAUCAUAUAAAUCCAUCUGCAAUAUCACACUGAGAGUUGUUGAUCCUCCAGGUCAGACAGGAGGAGACACAGAGGAUGGAGGGAAGGAGGAUGGAGGGAAGGAGGAUGGAAGAGAGAAGAGAGGAUCUGUUGGACUCAUCAUCGGUCUUUCAGUUGCUGCUGUGGUUGUUUUUACUGCUGUUGUUGUUGUUUCGAUCUACAUAACAUAUAAAAAUUGUUGUCAGGACUCAGAUCAUCCUCCCACUGAACCACAGACUGAAAUGUCUGAGAGCUUUCUGAACUCUGAAUCUCCUGCUGCUGAACAAAGAGACAGAUAUGACCUGGAAGCCAACAACUGUCACCAACACCCCACAACGAUCCCUGAUGUCACUCUGACAGUUGAGGAUGAACUACUUCAUCCUCCUCCUCCUCAGCAAACAGCAGGACAGCUUCCAGAGUGACAUCAGAGUGUAGUAGAUAAUGUCUGACAGCAGUCUGAAGAGGAAAUGGAUUGUGUUCUGUUCUGGUUGUUUUUUGUUUGUUCAUCUUAUCUGCACAAAACUAAGAGAUCCACAGUUAACACCAGCCUCCACAUGAAAUGUUUGGACUCUCUCAGAGCUGUCUGUUACUCUAAUAAAACUGCCAACAAUUAUUCUU